GAUGUACCUUUUCCUCCUCUCCCCAGGCUUCCUCCCUCCCAAACCCUAUUUCUCUCCAGUCUCGCUAUCCUAGUGGCCGGCGGCGGCGGCGAGCGGGCAGCAGGCUGCAGGGGAUGGCGAGGGGUGGAGCACGGGAUGGUUACAGAAGACUGAGCCGGUGUCCAAGAAGAAGCCCAACAACAACAUUCUUCAGGUUUGGUGAUUACCCCCUAAAAAAUCAGAGGUCGUGGGGGUGAUGGCCAUCAAGAUAGAGAUACAUGACGAGUACAACAUCCUGGGCAAAUCUCUCUUUCGGUGGACAAGCGAAGAUAUUAUGCAACUUUCGUUGUGAUGGGCGAGGUGUACACGCAUGUCUCGUAGCUGGUUGAUGAUGAGCUCCGCCACGGCUCGACUUCUAAGGGAUUGCUAGCUGGGUCCUAGCCAUGUUAGCAACUUGGUAGGGGACGGUCUUGGUGGCUGGUUGCUCCCUGAGAAGACGGUUAAACAUGGAAGGGAAGGUUGAUCUAUCAAUGAUUUUCGUUGUUCACUGAGUACUGAAUUUGGAGGGAUUGCACCUUUGAGCGGAUACUUUGUUGUUAUGUUGUGACCAGUAGGGAUUGCAUUUGCAUGGUUCAGGAGAGCUCUCGUGGCCGGUUCGGGGAUUUGCUAGCAAUCAUGUUGGCUGGGAUCACAUGGCGCUUGAUAUCCUCGAGGAAGUAUUUAUGGAACAUUUAUCUUCAUAAUUUCACAUGUUUGUGUCUUCUCAGGAGCUUCAAAGCAUUGCCACACUCAGAAUUUGAGGUUUAAAUUAUGGAAGACAUUUAACCAGCUAUAAAAGUACAAAACCACAGGAGUUACAUAUUCAUAGAGUGGCCAAUUCUGUCGAGAACUUACAAUCUUCAAGCAAGCCAUACAGUGAAAAGAAAUACUGGAGCACAUUGGUUCCUUCUCAAGAAAAAAUCUAUUUCACCCAAGACCAUAAAACAUGUUGUGCUAAAACAAUUGAUCUUGAACAGGGAGUAGACAGGGUCAGGCUGCAUCGUUUUUUGGUAAAGGGCAUUUCUCUUGAGGGUAGUAGGUAGGAUUUUCGAAGAUAGAUUUCCCUUUAUAUGGAAUUCUUUAAAGCAUUGCAAGUUCUUGGAAACAAUCCAUUUAUAUGGAUUCAGUGAUGGAUGCCACUCAAAUUUGUCAUCCAAGGCAUUCAGGCCAGCCUUGAAGGCUUGCUUGGCUUUGUUGCCCCGAACUCAAUUAAUUGUCGCUCGCCUCCAGCUACUUUAGCCGGGCGUGACCAGGCUGUUCUAGCUCAGGCGUGGUGCUUCCCGUAAUACAAUGUAUUGAACAAGUUUACGACUCUUUGUCAGUAUAAUUGCUCAAGCUCUUCGCGGAGUUUGUAUUUUUUCUCUCUGUAUUUUCUUUUUUGUUACUAUUUUCAACAUAUGCUGGAAAAUGCUACAAAAUGUUCGUAAUACAUUAUGGCUUGUGCUCCAUAUUUUCAUUGUA